ensembl:lncRNA
CUAGCCAGCGGGGACUCUGCGGCUCUUUUUAUAAAAACUGAUUAGCGUGUUUUGCAUACAAAUGAAAUCCGGGUUUGGGAUACAGUUUGGGACUCUGAAGGGACAGAUUAAUUUGGAGAUAGAAUCAGGACUGUCCCUAGAAGCUGCUGGGGGGGAAUUUAACAGAUCGAGAGGACAGGCUAGGUCAGCAGUCAGCUAUUGAAAGCAAUCUGGCAACAUCAAAGUCUUUCUGUGAAUCCAGAUGGGACCAGGAACCAUUGCCUACGCUUCCAGCAGCCUAUUUAAGCCCAGCUCAUAAGGAGCGACUGUUUUGGAGAGCAGGAAACACCCUGGCCAUCCUACAGAGUCGGGUGCCCUUUGGCUGCCCCAUUAAAGUCCAGAUGAGCAAGCCGUGUACAGUUGAACCAGCUGGAAAGUGGCCAGAUGUUCCCUCUAAGGGGAAGGCUACGGAAAGACGGCCUGGAGCAGGGCGAGCGGUGGGAAGUGGGAAUGGGCCGUGGUGGGCAGAAGUUUUGCCUACGUUUGUCUGAAGAAUAAAAGUGUGCCUGGAAAGGGUGUGUGCCGGGGAGGGAACCAGCCUGGCUGGUUUGGGGGGAAAAGGGUGGUUUCCAGGCCCGGUUCCCUCCUGACUCAGUUAGGCGAGGGCCGCGGUGCGGCUGGAGCCAGGGAAGCGAGCGCUCGUGCCUGCGCCUGCGCCGGGGCUCCUCGCUGCACGGGGGCAAGCGGAGCUCCGGGGGCUUGGCGGAGCGUUGCUUGCAGCGUGCCAAGUAACGCGUGAGUGCGUGGGAACGGAAACGCUCGGCUGGCAGCGAGUUCCCAGAGCCGCGUUUUUGUAGGCGAUGGGAUCUAGAGCAGCCACGUGUCCUCCUGCGGGGCGCAGGUGCCCCUCGAAGGCGGGCGAGGAGCGGGCAGAGGUCGCUGAGCCUGCCUGGGGGCCGGCGGGAGGGAAGGCGCAACCGCGGCGGGAACCGCUGACGGAGCGGCUCAGAGCAGAAGGCGCAGCUCUGCGAGUCUCGGGUGAGGGGGGAACCGAAGGUGGUGGUGGUGGCCGAGCAAGGCUCAGAAGCACAUUUCAGCUCUUUCAGUUCUCUUUCACUUUCGCACCUAUUCUUUUUGAUUAUCUGAAAACGGUUUUCACAACGGAACUGCACCUUACAGCGGGAGAUUUCACUUUUCACUGCGCUGGUCAGGAGCACACUUGGCUGGUGUUGCUGCUUAACCUCUCAUUGGAACUGCAGAGGCAGCACGAGAGAAAUCAGAAUUCAUGUCAGCUGACGUGA